AGAAUAACCCCACUGAACAGGUGGUCACUACGUCAGCCAUUGCGAAUCAAUGAGCACCAUCCGAAAGUCAGUAUUUAUAGUAAUUUGCCCAAGGACUGGACUCUCUGAUUCCAUCCAAAGACAGCAUGCAAAGCAAAUUAACAAUGUGAUUUUUUUUUUUUAAAGGGAUACAGCCUACUCUGAAGUGAACCAGUAGUUUCUGAGCCCAUUUCUGGCCAAUCGAGUGACAUGUUAUUUACAAGUCUUUCUUAUACAUUCCUUCCAGCAGGACACCUCCUGCCAGCCCAAUUCCGGUUUUCCUACAUAGUUAGAAGCAAUAGCAGAGCUCUUUCAUACGAUGUUCCGGAAUGUUCUCAGGAACAAACUGGCCUUCUCAACUAUGAGGUCUGGAGCCAGGUUUAUGAACACUAGCGGUUAGAUCGCACUGGGAGGUUCUGGCCACCUAGCUGUGGUCACGCUCAGUCACACUUGGAAGGAAGGCCAGGAAGAGAGGCAGCCAGGCUCCCGCUGAGAAGGAAACUGCCUCACCCACAGGGGUCUGUGGAGGACGCUCCUGGUGGCUGGGGGACUGGCCUCCUCACCUCCAUGUUCAGAGCCCCACCUCCUCCUGGGCUCUGUGACAGGGUCCCAGGACACUGAACACAGACUCUACUUAGACCAAGAGUCAGCGAGACCUGGGGGCUCCCCAGAGCCUCAAAACCACCCUGGGGCUGACUGUGAGGUCGGGAGCCAGGUCAGAGGCUGGGACCCUUGAAGCCAAGCAAGCAGUUAGCCUCAGAUGGAAAUGAAGCUCAGAUGCCCCGCCCCCCGAGCCCCGAGGCAUGGUGGGAUGUUCUGAGCUUUGAGAAUUCUGCUCCCAGAUCCCAUGUGUCCUUGGACAGCGUUCGUUUCCACCCAAUCCUUCUCCUGCUUCAUCUCGCUCCAUGUUCUCAGCAAUCCCAUCCAUCUGCUCACCAGGGCCGCAGAGGGCCAGCUGUGGGCUGGGCGCUGUGCCCAGUGCUGGGAUCCAACAGAGAACAAAACAGACAUGGUUCCUGCCUCGGGGAGCCCGUGUUCCAGUGGGAGAAGACACGAAGGAAUGAGCAAACAGUCAGACACAAAUUAAUGUGCAUGGGAUAAAGAGUACACGUGGAACGUCAAUGAAAUUGGGAGAUAUACGAGGUUUCUAUAUUACAUCCAUUGUAUAAUAAGGAAACUGCAGCUCAGAGGGGCUAAGCAACUUAUCUGAGGUCACACAGCAACUGAGUGACAGAGCUGGGAUUUGAACCGAAGUCUUCUGUUUGUUGUUGUUGGCUUUUUUUCCCCACCAUUCCCUCUCCCAGUAGAAGAAAAACUAUUUCCUCUCUCCAUGGGGUCUUGUGGGGAUUCAGCACACAGGCGCUGGCACCCACUGAGUGUUCGGUACGUGCGCUCAUUAUUAUUUCCAUCGGGAGGAAGAGCUGAGAAAAGCACAGCACAGCCCCUUACUGUAGCCUCCUGUACAGCCUUUAGAAUGAUGCGUAUUCAUGACAUGGAAAAAUGCUCAGGGAUGUAACGUUCAGAAAAACGGGUGCAGCAUCAUCCCUGUAGGGUAAUCUCCACUCUCAAAAUGUAACCAGUUAAUGGAAGUCACCCAGCAGCAUAGGAACAGGGUGGAAUCCUGGCCGACUGUCGUUUGCUUCCUUAUGCUUGUCCUAUAGGGAGAAAUGCCUCUAAAGGACAAGGACCAUUAUUUAUGAUCUUAAGAACGGAAGGCAGAACUAAGCUUCCCCACAGAUCAUGUACACACAGGUAACGCAGCACGGUGGGUCCAAUCCCCGCUGCUCCCCAGCCCCCUGGAAGUGCCUCUUUUCAGGGCGCCGAUCCAGUGUGAGGUGACUAUUUGCACCUCGCUCCCCAUUUGUGGAGUGACUGAGUGAGGGAGCUUGCUGGGCCUCUGGAGUUCCCGGCUUACACUCACUCAUUAUAUACGGCACUUGGCCCUGUGUGUGCUGUCCUCGCCAUUUCGAAUCUACAUCCUGUCUCUCGGAAGGCAGGGAUGAACUCUCACCCAUUUUAAGUUCCCUGUGACCCUAGCCUAGUGCCCAGAACAGGCUGUUUUUCUAUGUUUUAAAUGCCAAGUCUACUGGUAGACUCCUAUUCAUCCCGCAGGACCCUGUGUGAAUGCCCCUUCAGUUCUGAAGCUUCUCUGGCUGGUCCUUCUAUCCUCCCUACAACACUAUACAAUGGCUAACAUCUACUGGUCACUUGCUGUGGGCUGGGUGCUGUGUUUGCUCCUUCCGACCUCACAAUCCCAUCAGUGGGUAUGGUUACUCUCUCGAUGUGAUCCGUGAGGUUUAGACAGGGAAAGUGACUUGCCCAAGGCCAUACUGCUCACAAUGAGCAGAGCAGUGUGAUUCAGAAGUCACCUUCCCAACCGCCAAUACCUCAUUCGUACCUCCACUAGCGCAUAGAUGCCAGCGUGCUGGGGCCUGUUUGUGAGUACCCAUGCUUCCCAGACAAGCCUGUGAAGUCCUCCGGAGAAUCCUACCCACCUCACCUCAGCACCCAGCAUGGGCCAGACACAGGAGAGCCCAACGAACGUGGUCACAUGGCACUGUGACCCCAGGAGGCCUCUAGACAAAUCUGCAGACCAGAGAUCAGGCUCUUCUCCGCCCAGCCUUGCCUCCCUCGCCCAGGGGCUCUCGCUAAUGCCUGGACUUGGUGGUGUUCACUGCUGGAGUUCAGCUGCAGAGCACAGUCCUACCAGUGACAUGAGCCGGGUGGUCUCUGGGCGGGUCCCAGGAGGAGCAUCUGUUUAUAAUUGGCAGCCCUGGAAGAUCCAAGUCCCUGGGUAGGUCUGGCAGGCCAGCUCAUGUCCCAGGGGCCCCGUGUUCUGGACCAGCGCGGUGCUGAGCUGGCUUCUCCAAAGGAAAGAAAAUACCCACCAGAGACCCCAAACCACGCGCAGGGUGGGCGGGGGCUGGGAAGGUCCCAAUUUGGAGGGUGCACAGCUCUCCACCCAGCACCUCCAGUUAGAGGAUGUUAAUAAAAAUCCAUCCUUGUGGCCAGAUGAGAACAGGCAAGCAACAAAAUUGAGUGUGUAACCCUCCAGAUUUAGAGCAGGGGUGGUGCCAACGAGAACUGGGUGAGUGGGUGUGCGUGUGUGGGCAGGUGAUACUGGAAACAUGGACACACACUCUUCAUAGGUACGUGCGUCCUGUCGGUUAAAUCUUGAGCUCUCUCCUUUUUCCCACCCCUGUCCGUGUCCAAAAAGAGACCCCCCUCUCUCGAGUAGAAUGGCCUAGAACGCAGGCUCAGGAGCUGAACUGCCUGAGCUCAAUGUGUUACACGAACUUGGAAAACCCACUUAACCGCUCUAUAAAUUAAGGUUAUUAAAGCACCCACUUUGAAGGGUGGUUUGGAGGAUGAAGAAAGAACACAAUAAACGCUAA